UCCAAAUGGUCAAGUGAAAAAUCACCCACAAUUGGAGAACUCGUUGUGGAAGUGUUGGCUGAGAAUAUAUCAGUGAGGUCUGAUUCCGAAUGGUGCAAGUUAUGAACCAUUCCGUAACCAUUCAUCUGGCUGCUGGUUGAGACUGAAAAGUAGUUUGAUUCAGGGGUAGUAGGAGAGACAAAAGACGGUGAAUAGCCGCUACCUAUCAGGUUGUCAUCGACAUGAGAAAUCUGGAAAUGUCGAUUAUCGUCUGUCAUACCAGAAGAAAAUGUUGGAACAAAGGAGAAAUGACAUGCUGCUGGGUCAUUCUCGUCCAAGUCAUUAGUAUUGACUCUCAGGUUUGCUCUCAAAUUCAUCAACACUUGAUUUGAAUAUUGCUGCCCUGUUGGAUAAACGGCUUGGUUUUCGAAUUCUUGUUUCUCUGGCGAUGUUGGUUGUGGUGCAGAAUAAGUAGCAUGAUGACAAUUAUGGGAGCCUCGGUAUGUGAUAUCAAAUACAGUCGGAUCAUCAUCUGAUCUCUGCACAUGUUUUGUUGCCCAACAGUUUUGCAUGUGACGAUAGGUGCAUCUGUAGUAGCUUCUAGGAUAUUUAGCUCUUAGAAUAUCCUUCUGUCCGUACUUUCUCCAGCUAUAUCCAUCAUCAGUAGGACCUUCAAAGUCAGCGCGGAGAGCGGAUUUGAAGGUCCUACUGAUGAUG
rnacentral:misc_RNA from 1 species